UUUUUUUUUGUUUUGCUUAUUUCACAAGUCUCAGAACCUCCAUCUGGAAUCAUUUUCCUUAAAACUGAAGUGAAUCAUUUAGAAUGUCUUUUGUUAUGGUUCAGCUGUGGCUAGUUCUGUCAGUUUGGGUACGUUUGUUAACAUUUUUGUUUCAUAUCCAUUCUUGAUAUAUAGUUUGAUGGAGUAUAGAGUUCUAAGUUGGCAGUUAUUUUUAUUCAUUAAAUUAAUUCCUCUGUCCUGGCUUACAUAAUUGCUGGUGAAAAGGUAGUUGUUCAUCAACUGCCUCUCUUUUAAUGAUGAUCUUUCUCUUUUUCUCUGUGGUUUUUAAGAUCUUCUCUUUGCCUUCUGUUGUCUAUAGUUUCUUUAUUAUGUAUCUUGGUAUGAAUACUUUUUGUUUUCUAAAUAGGAUUCACUUUUGGAAUAGUACUUUCUAUGGGUUUUGAUAUGCAUCUACCAUUGUCAUACCACAAAGAAUAGUUUAGAUGACCUAAACAUCCUCUGUACUUUACCUAUGCAUUCCUCCCUCCCCUCAACCUCUGGCAACCAUUAAUCUUUUAACUGUCUCCACAGUUUUGCCUUUCCAGAAUGUCAUGUAGUUCAAAUCACAUAGUAUGAAGCUUUUUGAGUUUGGCUUCUAUCACUUAGUAACACUCAUUUAAGGUUCCUUCUUGUGUUUUUAUAGCUUGAUAGCACAUUUUUCAUGUGAGAAGGAAUACUGUUUUAUUGAUUGAAUGUAUCACAGUUUAUUAUUGCUCACUUAUUGAAGGGCAGGUUGCUUCCAAAAUUUGGCAAUUAUUAAUAAAGAUUCUCUGAACAUCUGUGGAUCUUAUGUCCACCCGUGUGUACACAUAAGUUUUUAAUAUAUGCCUUUUCAAUGUUUCUAUUUAAAAUUAGGCUUCUUGGAGCUGUGAAUUGUUGUUUUUCAUCAAUUCUAGAAAAUUUUCAUUAUCUCUUCAAAUAUUGUCUCUGUUCCUAUUCUCCCUUUAUUUUCUUUCUAUGUCUGAUAAUUCCCAUAUCUGAAAUAUUUGGAUCAGUGCUGCUGAUUCUCACUCAUGGUAUCUGUACCUGUAUCCUCGGUGCUACUCACUGCCCUUAAAAAAAUUAUUUACAGGGGCUGCCCAAGCCUUUGUAUGAAGUUAUCUUCCUCAAAGAAGAUAUGGGUUUUUUUCCUGCCAGUCAUUUAGUAUACUAUCAGUCCCUAACAAGUUUAGACCAAAUCGAUGGUUGGAACUUUCUUGGAUUGCCCUGGUAAAAUCAUUUGUAUUUCUGUAUGGAAGCCAGUGCUUAACUUGUAACCUUCCUGGGAAAGAUUUUCCUUUUUUUCCCUUUAUACAUACCCUCUCUGUUCAGUGUUAAGGCAACGCUCCUGUUCCAUGGGAGAAUUAAGAGUAUAAUAGUGUUAAUUCAUGCA
rnacentral:lncRNA from 1 species